UUUUUGAUGUCUGGCUAAUCUUCCCACUUUGUAUGAUUAAGGUCAAACUGAUUACCCGGUUAUUUUUCUUCAGGCAGAUUAUUGUAGGGAGGCUUUAUUCUUCCCAGGAGCACAGGGCAUGGUUUCCAAGCUGGGCUCAUUGGGGUAUUCUCCCUAGGGGAUAUUAUCAGCACCCCCGGAUGAUUGUUUUAUAACCUGUGAGGUGAAUUUUCUGUAGGACCGAAGUGUUUAACUGUGAUGAUAUGAGGAAAACAUAUUGUCAUGCAAUAUCCGCGCGAGGGAACAAAGCAACUUUUGUUCACCUCAGCUUUGGGUACGGCCAACUCCAACGGGGCCGCGCCAACCAUCACCUGUCCUGCUGCCAACUUCCCGCAGAGGUUCCUCGGCGUUAAUUACCCUGUUUAAUCACAGCCAGCUGUUACAACAGCCAGACGAUCGGUGGCAGUUCCUAGCAGGGGGGGCUCCCCACCCUACAGCAGCUCUACCUGCCUGGGGCCGGCGGGGGGGCUCGGGGAGCACCUGAGGCAACCACGGAGGAGGAGGAGAAGGUGAAGAAGAAGGAGGAGAAGAAGGAGGAGAAGGAGGCGCUCGUCUCCUGCCACUGGGGCUCUCCCAGCGCCGGGGAGCCGCGGGAGGAGUUACCUGGGCGAGCUGUGGAGGCCAUUUCCCGGGGAGAAACGCGCCCGGGGCAGCUGGGUGAGGCGUAAACAGGGGCCGUACCUGGCCAGAAGCAGCGCCUGCCGCGCGGACAGACGAGGGGUGGAGACGGCAGCUGGGAUCUGCAGCAGAGAAUCUGCACCUAGAUGUGCACCUGCCUGCGUGGCUCUUCCUUCCCUGCGUGCUGCCGAUGGGAUGGCAACGGCCACGCUCUUGGAACACGAAGGUGUGUGAAGAAACAAAGCUGGAGUAAGGGCAUGAAAAGGCAUCCUGGGGGAAAUAGGUCAGUCCUUUAUUUACCGUAGUGCUUUAGCUCUGAUUAUGCAAGGAGCUUAAUGCUGCUUCAGGUAGAGUAGGGCCUUGUAUUUCUAUGCAACACCUGCAGCGGCGGCGUGCUCUGCCAUUCCUCUGCCCGUGUUCCCAUUGAAUAAUAAGAACCAGGUUUUGGAAAGUACGCCAAACAUCUGGUAAAAUCAGGGCUCUACAAGUUUAUUCGAAAAUAUUCGUGAGCGUCACAGAUUUGCCAGGUGGUGAGCACUGUUGAAAAUCUGUCCCUAAUUUACUAUGUAAAUUAGGCCAUUAGGUUAAAUUGAUCUGCUUGUAAGUUAGCAUGCUACCCAGUAUGAGCUACAGGGGUAGAAGCCGUCCUGGUAAGACAUACACAUUUGACUAAAUUGUAUUUACAUUCCCUGCUCUCUUUAUGUGGUGGUCAUCCCCCUGUGAGUCAUCCCAAUACGCUCCAGGUUAUGUGGGAAUCUCGUCGUGGCAAAAUGUUGAUUUAAUGAGCUUGGAACAAGAGACACACAACAUCAAAAGCUGGGACACCCAGGGAGUAAGAGACUGGAAAUGAGAGUACAUCAUCUUUAAAACAAAAACAAACAAACAAAAAACCAGGACAAAUAUUUAUCUGCUGUUUUGUUAAAGGAUUCCUCUUCUCAGACACGAAGAAAUCACUGCAAGACAAACAUGCUAGCAGCUACUGUCCAUGUUAGCUCCUUUUUGUGCUCGGUAUGUCAAGGAAAGAAAAAAAGAUUUAUGACUCAUUGUUUUCCAAGGUUGCUGCUUCCUCUGCAGAUAUUUACAGGUUGGUUUUUAGAAAAACAGUUUACAAACUGCCCACUGAAUUUCCAUUUUUAUUGCAGGGUCAUAUUAUUACUGCCUAAUCCAUCAUAUAUCACACAGGCUUUGCACUUAAUGCUCGAUUAAGGAAAAAAAUGCAUGGUUAGCUACUCAUAAAUUAUUGUGUCUUCUCACCGUAUAUCUUCAAGAUAAUGCAGAUGAUACAACCUGUAUGUUGGUAAGGCUUGCGUUAUUCAACCCCACUGCUCACUUGGGGACACUUUUCUCUAGGUGUUAACAUCCCCUAGUGUAAACAGGCUUCUCUUUUCCCUUCUAGAAACACGGCUGUUGGUCUCAGAGAGCUCUAGAAGUCUUCUUUGGAGCAGGAACCUGAAAUUUUGUAACCGUUUUUAAAUAGCCUAAAAGCAGCCUCGGGGUCAUACUGUCACUUUUUAAAAUAUCACAUUGAACAUUUAACACCUGGUAAGUACUGAAAGUGUCACUUUGAAAACAGAAAGUUAUUUUCAUUUGGAGAAUGUUCCAAAGCUUGACAGUGUUUCCCACACAUUCGUACUGUCUUCCAACUGGAAAAACUUGGAAAAUAGUAGUGAAGUGCAUGUGUGGAAAGCUCAUUCUUCAAAAGCCUGAAAACAUGUUUGGAAGCAAUCUUUUUCCAAGUACAGUUGAAAUUAAACACUUAUUUUUCUAAUAUAAAAAAUACUUCUGUGAAAACUUCCUGACCUCUUCAAGUUCUCCUACCAAUGAUGAGACACAGAGGGGAGAGACAAAUCGCUUUUCCCAUUUCCUCAAACAGCAAGCGAAAAGGCUAUAGGAAGUGACAUUAAAACAGUGAACGUUUCAUUAGAAUUGCAAAGAUGUGGAUUUAAACAAUAGGAAACGAGGGAACUGAGGCUCCCAUUUCGUUUUAUUCAUCACUUAUGCCCCAGCUGUCUUUGCCAUGGGCCCCAUUUUCUUUUGCAUUGCCUAUUGUACAGGUACUUACAUCAAGGAUAAGUAUGUGUAAAAUACAUAAAACAUUGCUGCUCUUCCUUGGAAGCAUUUUAAGUUGACUGCAGAAGGGUGAGUAACUGCAUACAUCUUAGGGAACAAUGUGGUGGGCUCCUGCGUUCCAGCUGUUAUCUUUUUUAUUGUAUUUUUAACUUGUUUGCCUGCAGUUGCGUGUUUACACCAUGCUGUCAAAAGGCCCAGCAGUGCAGCGGCGACGUUCUCAAUGGAGCUGUGGCAGACGUAGCUAAAUUACCGGUGUCGAGAACUUUUGGCUUUUUACAGUAGUGAAUGCGUUUGUCCUGAGCACUUAGCAAAAAUAGCAUCUGGGAGGCCAGUUGGAAGCAAGGAAGAAGGGGAGGACCUUUACUGCACGUGAAUAAAAUUGGUAGCUGAAAGGCAAAAAUCGCAUUAGAUUGGCAGCUCCCACCCUCCACGACUGUCCCAACAGCUCAGUGACACUCGUCUGCUCAGCUCUGCUCCAGAAGCCGUGGUUUUGGGUCCUGUUGUUGCUGGUGAGGUUAAUGUAUGGUUCGUGGUAGUGGGAAGUGAGCUCUUGAAUGUUCCCCGGAAGGUUUAGCAUUUGUUUUCAAAAUAGAGGGAAAAACAAAAGGGAAUGCUGCUAAAAUUAUCCCUUGUAUUAUAAACAAAUGCAAACAGCUGUGGGAGCUCUCGCUGGCUUUGCUGCCUGGUCCUAGCUUCAAAAGCGGCCUCAUUCGCUCCACCCUCGACUAUAGGUGUCACUGCGGCGAGUUAAACAAGCUCCAGGAAAUGUCAACAGCAACUGAACACACAAGCUGUGUUGGGAACAGUGUUUGCUGAAUAAAUGACUAAUUUAAUGGCAUCCACUGGAGAAUGGUUUUAUCGGUACCGGUAAUACUCCAGUAUUGCAAAUAAGGGGAGUUUAGGGCUGUAGUAUUAGCAUUUGUUGUCUUAUGUUUUUUUCCUGUAUUGAAAGGGAAUAUUGAAGAACCAUUUCGAUGCAGAACAAUUACAAGGUGGUUUGCAUGGCUGGGAGGCAGGUGAUGGGGAGUGGAUUUGCACGGUGUUGCCUUUAUCAUCUGAAAAAGCCAGAACCACGUUGGGAAGUCUGGUGCCUGACCGUAACCCAUGGGGUCUCCGUCCCUCCUCCAGGAAAAUCACCUCCGGGGUUUUGUGGCUAGCUGUAAAUGUGGGUUUGAGAACUUACUUUAGAGAAAUGUCCUUAAUUUUUGCAACUUGCCUGUGGGGAAAGAAAUGAUCUUUUAUUGUAUUUAGUCAUUAUUAAGCCUAUUUAUAGGCUGGUCAUUAAAGUACCCCUACCUGCUAUCCAGUCGAUGUUCUGAAAGCUAAUUAGCUAAGUAACUAGAGCAAAUCCACUAUUAGGUAUGCAGGGAAGGUAGCACUGACACAAACCAACAACAGGGGCCAACAAUUAAGCAGAUGGACAGUUCUCCAAAUGACUCUGGAAUUUAUGGUGUGAAAUGACCUUUGGAGGCAAGGGAGUUCUGCUGGUUAUUUGAAUGGCACCAGGAUUUCGGCUUAGCUUCUGAGGCCAACAGGGGCCACGGACGUAUCUAGAGAUGGCUCUGGAAAAGCUGCAGGGUAGAAGAGCUCACCUGUGAUACAACACCCACGGAGAGAAAAGAGUUCAGAGGAGGCAAAGCCGGGAGACCGGGCUAAGGUAGUCUCUGCUUCAGGUCACCCACCCUUUGUUCUUGGAUGGUUUUCCUUGCUCCUGUCUGAGGGUGAGGGGAAGGUUAUGCCCUGCCCUUACUGUAACGUGGCUGAAGCUACACGAGCUGUGGGAAAGGUUAAUUUGAACACGAUCAUUCUUCUCUGCGCUGUGCUUUUUAAAGCUUAAAUGCUUAUUUUUAGGGUUGACAAUACACAGCUCUCUUUAUUGGCCCACAGAAGAGUAAAAAUAGAUGGAUGGGGAUCGUGCAGAUGUAUGCGAAUAAUUCUUGGCAAAACCUGUUAUAUAUUCCUCAAAUGCUAAAUUUUAAGACAUUUUAUUCUUUCUCUUUUUUUCCCCUUUCAUUUGCAGUUACACAUUUUGCUGCACUUAAUCUUUUUUUUUUUUAUUUAAUGAGAUCAUUAUCAAAUAUGGCAGUUUGCAAAUAUUUUUCAUGCUGUUGGGCCUUUUUCUUUUUUCCUUCUCUUUUCUAAAGCUUCUUGAAUGUCAUAAAUAUUAUUUCUAUAGUUGAACAUCAGAUGGAUUGCUAGGCUUAACCAUGUCUGUGUCCUCAGCCAUUUGCUGCUGUUCUGCUGCUUCCGUACUGGUGGCCCGUGCAGAGCACGUUUGAGGAAUGUUCUCUGCUUUAGCUUGCUCAGAUAUCUUUCUGUUCGUAUACCCAGGUUUCAUAGCUGAAACUUUGCAGCAUGUUUUAAAGGCAGCCAAGAGGGAAGUGUAAUGGCUCUCCUGGAAGUUGUUCAAAAGCCACUCCCAUCGACUGCAUCGGACACUUAUAUAAGGCGCCAAAAGCAAUUUCCAGUCAAGUAUAAGGUAAGGGAAACUAAUUGGAAUACUGUAGGCUGUAGUGAGAACACCUUUGGAAGCUGAGGUUAACACUUUUAAAUGUAUCUUUUUGCCAUACAAGAAAUGUGUCUAACUCAUAAUUUUUUUGAGGUCUGACACUCUUGUUCUUUUCUUUAUUAGCUGGGGCUCCAGCACGUACUGUACCCUGCUCUGGGGCUUGCCAGAAGUUCUGGUAGCCCAGCCAUUAGUUUGGAUAGUCCCUUUUCCCCAAAGUGUAAGAAUUCAGUCUUACACUGAAUUAAUAAUUAAAGAAAUAUUUUGAACUGCAGCAAAACUGGCCCUGCGCACCUCUCAACAAAUCUCUUCUCUCCCGUAAAUCCAGCUUGGGCUCUCUGUAGCUCCUGCCAGGGUCUCGCUGGUCCUCUUCCACCAAAGAAAAAAAGUCCUGCUGCAUCAACAAAUGACCAAUUCCCAUUAAAGCCGUUCAGACACAGAGGCUUUUUUUAACCUUUGUUUACUUUUCCUAUUCUAAUAAUCCAACUUUGAUCAAUUUAUCUCACCAAGCUACAAGGGUUCUGUAUUUAUUACCCACAUGUAAGGCACAAAGCACAAAUAGAGAUAAUCCUCCACCAGGGUAUAUUGAAAUCACAGCUUAUUCACACUAGGACAAUUUGGUUCUUGCUCACAUCUGAAUUCUUAAGUGCUAUUUCAGGCUUCUUCCCUUCAGGACUACUGUAACUUUGAACUCUUGAAUGGUUUGAUUUCUGGAAUUGUAAUUUCUCUUAAGCAAAUGUCUCUCACCUUUUAUUUAACUUUCAAUCUUCUGCACCCAAACUUUUUCAGCACGCAAAUCCUAAAGCUAUUGUUCCAAAACCUGGCCUACAAGGUUACUUUUGCCUUCCAGGCCAGACUCUUUUGCAGGUUUAUUAACAACACAUCCUCAGGUACAUUUAAGGAGUCAAUCAUUAACUUGAUACUAGAACGUAUGCUGCCUCUCCUGGAAAUUACUGUCUGAGGGUAGACAGCCUAGGAGGUAGUAUAGAGACAAACUUCAGUGGGGUUGCAUGCUCUCAGAUCUCUCGGUGUAAGAACUCAUCUCCAGUUUGGGGUGACCUUUGUCACCCACCAGCGCACCUGCACAUGUGAUGUAACGUGAGUAUUUGGCAUUUCCCUAACAUGAGUCGUUGAAAAAUUUCCUGUUUAACCUUACUUUGGUCUUGUCUUUCCCCUGGUUCCAGGUUCUACCUCUCAGCUGACCAUAUUCUUGUUGUGGUCUUUCUUUUUGGUACAGCCAACGUUACCCAAGCAUCCUAAUAGUGGGUAUUUGUAGUAACAACUCAGACAGUCCUCCUGCCCUUAAUACCACUUGCCUGGCUGCCGUAUUUCAUUCAGCAAAAGUGUGAAUGCUCUCCAUCUCCUAUAAAAGUGAAUAGAAUUCAGGGUGUGGGGAAAGUGAAUCUACAGGAAAAACAGGCUGUUUUCUUACUGUCUUUCUCCUGAUUCUGACUAGAACAAACUAGUCAGGGGUGUUUCUUGUCUGCUUGAGCUUCAGAUGAAGAAAUGAUGUUUAUUCUCUCUUCACACACAGCUUAGUCAAGGGAAGUGUCUUAUUCGGCAAAUGGCAGAGCAAAGAUAAUAUCUUCUCAUUUUGCAUACAAGGAGGAUCCUUGGCAGAACAGGAAUUGUUCCCUUGGAUAAUUUUCAUCUCCGUGUGCUUAAAACUCCCUUUUACCAUGUCUCAUAGUCUACCCAACUCUACUGCUUCUGCGCUAUAUACCCUGUUGUUUCUGUGUCCUUUGCUGUGAUUCUUACUAUUCCAGUCUCAUUUAGAAAAUACUUCUUAAACUGAGAGGCCAGAAUGCUGUUGCAUGAGUGUUUUUUGCACCUCUGGAGUGACCUCUUUGUGUCAUGUGGGCUUCAAAAUCCAAGAAACCUCUUGAUAAUGGUUUGUGCUUGUGGUCUGUCUUUAUAGACUUGUAGGGUAUAUUUGUGCUAGCUCUUUUUUACAGCUCUCCAUACUUUCCUGGUCUUCUACCGACAUUCUCAAGAUUUGUUUUUCCUCUCAGUGGCAAGAACUAAAUAGAUCUACAAACUGUGCUGACAUUAAAAGAGGAAGUAAACACUGAGCACUUCUGAAAGUAUGGCCUCUCCUCAGCACCUGUGUUGUUGCUAUCCACUAACUGAUUCUUUCUUUCUUAAAAGUCUUUCUUCUUAAAAGAAUUAAAUCUGACUCCCUAAAUUUGCUCUUUAAAUCUUUAAUAAAUAUGAAAAACUAUUCAACACCACAAAUUUUACAAGGAAGAAAUUAAUAUAAGCAAGAAGUUGAUUGUCAAUCUGUUGUUGGACUGUUGUUGAGUGUGGUAUUUGCACCAGAAGAAGAAGUGGAAAAAGUACUGUGACUUUCUGCUGCAGUCCCAUGGUGCCUGACUAUAGAAACGUUCUUAAGGCCAAACUGGAGUGGAUACAACCAGCAGCUCCACUCACAGAGCUUCCUUGAGGGAAGCAGUUUGCAGUAUGCCCUUUCACAGGAGAGGAGAAAACCAGGCCGGCAUUAAUUCACUCUUCCUAGGCACUGCAACCAGUCUCAUUCCUUUAGCUUAUGAUAUCUUUGGGCAAGGUCACUUACGCCAUAGUGCAUUAAAGGCAUUGUAUGAAGGAUAUUGCAUUACCAUAUUAUCACGAGUUUAGUGUGUUUUAUUGCAGCAUAGAGAUUAAGGCAAUUAUUAGCAAGUUCUUAGGAAAACAACAGCUUCUGCUACAUCAGGUCCAACUGACACAGCAGCAGUGUCCCUGUGGCUAUGGCUGUAGUGGGAGCUGUAAUGGUGUCGUUGUUUAUGGUGGUUUUUUUAAAUACCAUCUUUUUUCCCGAUCUUUCUUUCUCCCCCCCCGCCCCCCCCCCCCAUUUCAUACUGACUCUGCCAGACUGCCUACUUUCAAAUGCUAUCAGAACAUCCAGUGUAGCAACAGUUGUUAUAGGUGUAGUGAUCAUCCUUGAUCACAGCAGUGUGUUGGAGCUAUGGGUUUUUUUAUUUUAAAUGCAUGCUUGAAAAUGGCUUGAGUCAUCAGUAUGCAGACUGCUGGCGGAUCACUCAUUUUUUUUAUAACACCAAUAAAGUAGUCGCUUCAGUUCACCACAACACAAAAACAUUUGCUGUUGCCUAAAUUUCCUAAAGACAUUUUGUUAGACAAAGUGUCCUCAUGCUCUAUAUGCACUCUGAUUAGAGCAGAGAGGUUUUGGACUCUCUAUAAUCUGUUGUCCGCUCCCAAAAUGUUCCAGUGAUUUUGCUAGUCCCUUGAGAAAUGCCAUGUAAGUGAACUGUUGUAUAUACAGGCUACUGCCUCCUAUGGGAUAGCCAAAUCCAGUAGCUCAGUAGUCAGGGCUGCUGCAGCUCCCUCCUCGCAGGUCUGGUAGCCUGGGAGGAGCAGGUCUGGGUACUUUGUUUCUCUGAUUAGGUCACUGGGGUUGUCAGUUUUCCUUUGUGCUCCUUUGUAUGUGCGUGGAGAUGAGCGUGUUAUCGCAUGACCUAACUGUGGAUAUAUGCCAAGCUUGUCAGUGUAAAGCAAAAGCACUUGCUUAGUUAUUUUAUUCAAUAUUUAGGUGUCCAUGGGCUGGAAGGACUACAGAAAAUGACCACAGGUUGAAAACUGGACAGAGUUGUGCUGCCAGAAAGAGUUACUAAUUAUUGGCCUGUUUCAACUGCACAAGUUGUUAUACAAGUUGUUGGUGAGAUCCAUAGUGGAUCUCACCACCUUUCUGUUUAGUUAUCUGAUUACUUACUGAAAACACUUUGGGGAAAAAGAUUUGGGAGCUGUAUGUAUAAUUGCACAUCCACCUAAAUAUUUCGACGAAAGAGUUGUAGAGGUUAGAGUAUCGAUAGCAGCACCAAGUGCCCAAAGCUGACCACACGUUUUCUGUACUUUCCUUGCUGUGCUUUGCUUGAUUAAUCGGGACAAUUCUCUGUUAGGCAUAAAAUUAAAGUAAAUGAUUAGAAUAAAGAUGUGCUGAGCUACUUGACAAGACUUGAGUACAGGGUACAGAAUCUGUGGGUGUUUGGCACAGCCCCAGCACUGCAGAUAUUUUAGCUCUUGCUUAUUUUUGAUUCAGUUCAAAUAUGACUUACCUUUUAAAAAAAAAUAACUGUGAUGUAUCUAUGUUACACAACAGAGGCUCAUAAUGGAAGAAAUCACAUGGCAAAGCUAUAGGCAUGAGUUGUAGGGCACAAGUGCUGUUCUGAAUUAUCUCAGCUUCAGCUUAUUUUGAAGCACUCAAGCAAUAAUUGGUUGCAUACAGAAUGGUUUGUUCUAUCAAGUCACCCUCCUUCAGAGAAGAAACCCACAGGAAGGCUUCAGAGGCAUGAGCCACACAGCCACAGUGUCACUGGUUCUGUUCACUUACAAUCCUUUGUAGUUUCAGAAGCAUCUGGGAUGGGAUGCUGAGGAAAGCAAUAAAACAAUAUUUCUGGAGGGAUUUACCCAUCGAAGAAGCCCUUCCAAGGGACAAAUCAGCAGAGCACCUCCAGUAGAUCUCUUCCAGUGAAGAGCUCCCAGAUUCCCUGCAGUCUUUCUAAGGAUCCCUACAAGACGAAAUAGUGAUGCAAAAACUGCAUUGUGUUUUUUUGUUGUUGAGGGUUGCAUUUACUUUAGGUGAACACCUUUCACCCACUGACUCUGCUUCUGGCUAAAAGAGUGGAGAAGGGGACUGAGAGCUGUAGCACAGAGCCCUUCCCAUCCUGCCCUUCCCAGGAUAUUUUUUUUUUAUGCAGAUAGUUUGGAGAAAUUCCUGGGAUCCUUUGCCAGGAACAAGCAGACAGAGAAGCCAGUGGUAGAAGAAACAAUCUGUAGCUUCCCAGGGUUGUCUAGUUAAGUUGUAAGUCCAUUGUCAAACUUUGUUUCUCAGUCGCAGGUCUAGUCUGCAGGCAUCACAUCUGGACCAAGAAGAAAUGACUCUCAUGUGUGGGCUUCUGUUAACUAUCAGUGCAAAAAGCAAUGUAUAAGAAAGAGGCAAGGGUUGGCACGAUAACUGCUAGCAGACGGCUGGGAUCAACUGAAGUAAGGAAACUGUUAAAAAGGAGUUGCAGCGUCAAAGCAUCAUUUUUCACUUUGUAAAUUCAGCUCGAGUAUGUCUACAGUGUCAUUUGUGCUGAAGAUUCGGAUUCCUGUGCUGUAUCAGGGAGCACUAAUAUCUCUAGCAAAGCGAUCUGUCACUGAACUGCAGGCAUCUCCAGGGUGUAAAACAACACCAGCUCGAUGGCACACAGCAGCAGUUCACAGAAGUGCAAGAAAGAAGUUUCAGGAGAAUAACAGAGCAGUUGGGAAAGACCGUAGGAAGAACGUACAAACAAAAUGUAGCAUAAUAGGUCAAGCAAGGUACGUUUUGGUCAUUUCCUUGGCUUUAAGAUAUAUGAUUCUGAAAAAAAGUUGCUGUUUAAGUGUUAUUAAUAAGAAGCAGGCCCUCCUUCCCUUCUCUCCCCCUCCCCCCCCCCCCAAAAAAAAAAAAGGAAAAAAAAAAAGGCAGUAUUGUCCCCCAGAAGCAGUAUUACUACUGCACAGUAGUAACUAACACACGAGUUUUGCAGAUCUUUAGACUUAUUACCUUGCGACAGGGAAGUGUCAUGAGAAAUGCAGUAAUGGUUACAGUAGAAACGGAAUAGGAACAGUGAAAAUUAUGAUCAUUUUCAUGAAAGGAAAGACCCACACCCCCUUUCAUAAUAAGAAAAUCUUUUUGAGUGUAGCCCACACAUGUUUCAGAGGCAGCUGCUUUACUGAUUAUUGCAAGCCAAAAUGUUAUAUCAGAACACACCUACUUAACAAUACCAGUUGGGUUAAUUAAGAGAAGGUUACAUUUUAGUUCAUAUGCCUUUUGAAAAAUGGAAUAAACAACAAUCUUUAUUCCCUUGGGAUAAAAAAAAAAAAAAGGUGUAGAUUCUGCCAACUGGUUUGUAAUAUGAGAGUGCUUUACAUGGUGUAUUUUCACAGCUGUCUUAUCAGUUUCCUAAAAUGAAUCAGGGUGGAGCAAACAGUUUAGGAAUGUCAUGAAAAAAGGAUUUGGAGCUUUGCUGUGGUUCAUGAUAAUGAUGCCCUCUUGGAAUAGUGUAUCAGAGUCAGAAGAUCCUACUGGGGAUAGGGAUAAUGCUUUUAAUAUAUUUUUGCACAAAAGUGAGCAAUUAUUGUGUCUAAACUUAGAUGGAGGCAUCCUCUUUGCUUUUUAUGAUAGUUUGACUUGAAACAAGUUUUGGACAGGAGGCAUUUGCAGUUAGUUCUCUUGUGAGAUUCAGUUUUCCAAAAUUUUCCAAAAUGGGGCAGUUUCUGCUAUUGUAACUCAUUUCAGUAGGAGCUGAGGAAUCUUGAAACUUCAUGGACCUGAGCAUUUACUUGGUUGAGUUCAUCAGCUCCAUGCAAACCAACCAGUAAAGGUCAGGCCUUUCACCCACUGGCAUGGUGGUAGAACCCAGACCGAUUUCUUUGGGUUUUCAGCAUCGUGCACUGAAAACUGGAAAUCCAGAGAUGGAAGCGACUCAAUGCUGUUAUGUCUAGAAAGAGUUAUUGUGCUGUUUCCCCUUCAUUAGCGUUCAGUUAACAAAAUACCUGCUCAGAACACCGCCCUCAUGUGUUUUGGAUUUUGGUAUAGGCAAGCAAUGAAAAAAAAAAUCUAUAUAGAUUUAUUGUAUGAAUUGAGGAGGAGACAUGGUCUGCUGGAGAAGAAUCUGAUGUUCUUUUAAUGCUGCUAUGGGUUAAUGGAGUGUAUAGACUGUUUUAGCAGUUUCUCUAAAUACCUGUUAUUCCAUCUCCACUAAGAGUUACAGUUUAUUUGACAGAAACAAAUUGAGUGAACCAAAGCUUUUUCCUUUCGUUAAAAUAACUUUGACUAAAAUGGUGCUCUUUAAAAUAUAGCAUAUUAGAUCAACUUAUCAAACUUUUGACAGUUAUUCUUUAAGUAGCCCUACUUAUUUUGUUGACUAGUAAAAUACUUGCUACUGCUCCAGAAUUGAUAUUUUUCUGAAGUCUGAUUGUGCAGGUGAGCAAUGCUAUCUUCGUUAAAGAUACCUCAGGUACUGGCUGCAAAUUGUCUCAAUGGCCUACAAAUGUCUGUCUGCUCAACAGAAAGUGUAUGAUUUCCAUCAGCUUCAGAGUGUCCCAAGUUAAAUGUUUUAAUGAUAAAAUAUGUGAUCCUCUGGGAGAAAUUUUUAGUUAAUAAUUUUCAGUUUACCUGAAACGCUUAAUAUAUGGUAAUCUAGAAAACAGUAAUUUGCAGUAGGCCUUGUGUUUUAUUUCAUCCUGUGUGCAAAAUGCAACUGCUCCUAUUCAUACGAUGCAUCUGCUUCCAUGGGCCUACUGUGAAUUUCACAAGGAAUCUAAGUCAUUACUCUGGUACCCUAAGUCGUGCUCAACUGUACCUGUUUUAUGAUAAAUGCAUGCUAUUGUUACUGGUCUCCAUGGAUGGAGACAUCACAGUGUUUAUACACAAUCUAUUUCAAUGCUUAACAAUCCCUGCAGUUAGAAAUUAUUCCUAAUUUCCAGUCAGUAUCAUCCUUGCUGCAUUUUAAGACUAUUACCUCUUGUCCUGUUCAUUUCAGUAAUGGAGAACAAAUGAUUCCUUGCAUUUCCUAUUGACCUUAUACACGUAUGAAGGUUGUUGUCAUCUUUUCCUUAGGUUAAACAUGCCAAAUUGCUCAUCCUCUCAGUGGAUAAGAGGAUAGGUGAAUAAGUGGGAUGGGCAGAAAAUAACACAAUAAUUGGUGGUUUCUCCUGCACUUCAAUUUGGACAAGGUUUCAUUAGUAGAAGGCUUUUUUUAAGGCUGAUUGGACUAAUUAGAACCAUAAAAACAAAUGUUGGGAGUGUCCAACCCCUUUAACAGCAAUCUUUGUCUGAACUCUGCAGAUGUAGCUGAGGAUUAAAAAAAUACAAAAACUUUUCCAAAUUUCCCAACUAUUCUAGUUGAUCAGCCAGUUAAUGUCCUGCCUGCGCAUUUAAGCCAUCGGGGUAAAGUACCAGUCCACGCAUAACAUCCUUCCAGGAUGCUGGAAUGUAAAUUGCAAAGGGCGAUGUGCUGGAGGUUUCGACUAACGAACACAUACAGACUGAAAAUGUGGUUUCUGGCUACUCUUGGUGUAUCUUUAUCACACGUAAUCCAAAAUCGGUACAGCAGUAACCAAAUAUAUUCUGUAAAGAGCUUGUGCCAAAGCUGUAGAAAAUUGUGUAAAGCUUUUUCUACCCAAAUGAAUGUUCACCUGAUUGCCAGCUGCAGUCAUUAGCAAUCAUCUUGUGAGUUCUUAAAUAGUGAGCUAAGUUGGUCCUGGCGUAAUGGAAUGGAGAAAUAACAAAAGCUGGUGUCCUGGUUUGGUCUGAUGCACACACAAAUUCUGGUAUCUUUUGUCUGUACACCAACUCUGUAACAUUAACAGCUCAGAAGGUACAAUUAUGAAGACUUUGCUUACAACUGAGUGCUGUUUGCUGUCUGAUAGGUGUACCCCAGUGUGCCAGAGGUGCAUUAUUUCAGUCAAGAUGUUAUCUUGAACGCAUGUAAUCAUUAAAGCUCCUGUGGUGCCUCUCAAGAGGAAAAUGUUGAGAUUGGUAUUGUUGCCAAAUUAUGAUCUGCAUAAAUACAUCCUCUCUUUCAAAAUUGCAAUUACAGUUUGCCAUAGAAUAUUCUUCUUUUAAUAAUGGGCGUUUUCUGUUUAACAGACGCAAGAUUCUGGACUGAGGCAUGUGUGUUUGGUUGGUAGGUUCAGGCAUCUCCCUCAGGUACCUGUUAAAAAAAAUAAAUAAAAAAAUGAGAAAGCAUCAGGCAUCAUUGGAGCAAUUUUAGGGCAGGAGGAAGCACUGGCUAGACAAGGUCCCUAUCAUCCUACAUGAAAGCUCUCUUUGCUUGCCGCCACCAAAACAGCGCUGUAACAUCUCGUGUUAUGCCCUUCUUUCACAAUGUCAUUUUUGGCGGUGUUGUUCUCUCUGAACAUUUCUUGUGGACAAAUGGGCAAGACCUUCUGCAAAGGGGCUCUGAUCACACGGAUUUAAAUCCUUCUGGAGGUCAGUAAUCGCCAGCUCUGACAGGCCUCCAGCACGCAGUGCAAGGCUCAUCUCUUGGCCAAACACUUCUGAACUUUAUCUAAGAUUAUGGCUUUUUUCCUUUCCUUCCAUCUGCUGCAGACGGGAAACAGGAAUUGCUGUGAUUUGCUUCCUGCUACAGCCAAGGACUGUUUGAUGUAGGUUUAAUAUGCCGAGGUGUAUGUCACCAGCCUUUUGUUUCUACAUAGCCUUUAACGUUCUCUUUCUCGGUGUUCAGGGGAGUUUUGGGGCUUGGUUAGACUCAUUUCUGAGGAGACAGCGCUUGGUGAGCAGAAAAUGUUUUGUCUCUGUUGGUUUCUAUUAUUGGAAAAACUGCUGACUAGAACGAGCAGCUCUUGUAUUAAUUCCGAGAUCUUCCAAAUGUUGAUCCUUCCUUGUUGUCUGGUCAUCUCGCUCCUGCGCAGGUGUAUACAAGAAAAUAAAGCUAUUUUUACUCA